AUCAAGAACGAAAGUCAGAAGUUUUUUUUAACAGUCCGGGUGCAGUGGCUCAUGCUUGUAAUCCCAGCACUUUGGGAUAUGCAUACAUAGAUUUACAUACAUAUACAAAGGAGGCUGAGGCAGGGGAUCACCCGAGGUCGGGAGUUCGAGACCAGCCUGACCAACAUGGAGAAACCUCAUCUCUACUAAAAAUACAAAAAUUGGCAGGGCAUGGUGGCGCAUGCCUGUAAUCCCAGCUACUCGGGAGGCUAAGGCAGGAGAAUUGCUUGAACUCGGAAGGCAGAGGUCGAGGUGAGCCGAGAUGGUGCCACUGCACUCCAGCCUGGGCAAUAAGAGUGAAACUCCAACUCAAAAAAAAAAAAAAGAGAGAGAGAGAGAAAGAUGUAGAAUGACAAGAAGGAGAAAUUAGGCCUUCUAUUUUCAGACAGGCUGGACAAAUCCUGCAGAAGGAGUCAUUAUUGAACUUUGUGUCAGUUGGGUCCUCUGGGCAGCAGAUGCAGAGACAAAAUAAGAUUUUGGUGGUUGGGGGCAGUAACCCCUGUGAAAGACAAAUGAGGAAGGAAGCAGAAUUGGAUAGGAAAAGCCUCAAACCAUGAUGUAGCAUGUAUCAGAAUUUCCUUCCUUUUAAAGGCUGAAUAAUAUUCCAUUGUAUGAAUAUAUCCCAUUUUAUUUAUCUAUUCAUCCAUCGAUGGACAUGUGGGUCACUCUCACCUUCUGGCUAUUGUAGAUGAUGCUGCUAUGGUCAUGGGUGUACAAAUGGCUGCUUGUUACCCUGCUUCCAAUUUGUUUGUGUAUAUACCCAGAAGUGGAAUUGCUAGGUCACAUGGUACCCAUAUGGCUAUUUUUUAUUUUUUGAGGGAUAAAUAAAUAAAAUACUAUUUUCCAUAGCAUCUAAUAUAUACCAUGUUAAAUUCCCACCAACAGUGCACAAGGGCUCCAAUUCCUCCACAUGCUCACCAACACUUGUUAUUUUCUGGGUGUAUUAGUGCCUUCUCACGCUGCUAUAAAGAACUGCCCAAGACUGGGUAAUUUAUUAAGGAAAGAGGUUUAAUUGACUUACAGUUCUGCAGGGCUGGGGAGGCCUCAGGAAACUUACAAUCAUGGUGAAAGGGGAAGCAAAUAUGUCCUUCUUCACAUGGCAGCAGCAAGUAGAAGUCCUGAGCAAAGGGUUAAAGUCCCUUAUAUUAAUAAAACCAUCAGCCGGGCGUGGUGGCUCACGCAUUUUGUAAUCCCAGCACUUUGGGAGGCCGAGGCGGGUGGAUCACGAGGUCAGGAGACACAGACCAUCCUGGCUAACACAGUGAAACCCUGUCUCUACUAAAAAUAAAAUAAAAUAAAAUUAGCCGGGCGUAAUGGCGGGCGCCUGUAGUCCCAGCUACUCAGGAGGCUGAGGCAGGAGAAUGGCAUGAACCCGGAAGACAGAGCUUGCAGUGAGCCGAGAUUGCGCCACUGCACUCCAG
rnacentral:lncRNA from 1 species